CUACGGGAGGCUCCAGUGAGGAAUUUUGCGCAAUGGGGGGAACCCUGACGCAGCAACGCCGUGUGAGUGAAGAAGGCCUUUGGGUCGUAAAGCUCUGUCAACUGGGAAGAAGUUACUAUGCUUAAAUAGAGUGUAGUAUUGACGGUACCAGUGGAGGAAGCGUCGGCUAACUCCGUGCCAGCAGCCGCGGUAACACGGGGGACGCAAGCGUUAUUCGGAAUUAUUGGGCGUAAAGGGCGCGUAGGCGGUCUUGUCGGUCAGGUGUGAAAGCCCGGGGCUCAACCCCGGACGUGCACUUGAAACAGCAAGACUUGAGUACGGGAGAGGAAAGCGGAAUUCCUGGUGUAGAGGUGAAAUUCGUAGAUAUCAGGAGGAACACCGAUGGCGAAGGCAGCUUUCUGGACCGAAACUGACGCUGAGGCGCGAAGGCGUGGGUAGCGAACGGGAUUAGAUACCCUCGUAGUC
rnacentral:rRNA from 1 species